rnacentral:rRNA from 1 species
UACGAAGGGGGCUAGCGUUGUUCGGAAUUACUGGGCGUAAAGCGCGCGUAGGCGGUUUUGCAAGCCAGAGGUGAAAUGCCUGAGCUCAACUUAGGAAUUGCCUUUGGGACUGCGAGGCUUUGAGGACUGGAGAGGCGAGUGGAAUUCCCAGUGUAGAGGUGAAAUUCGUAGAUAUUGGGAAGAACACCGGUGGCGAAGGCGGCUCACUGGCCAGUUUCUGACGCUGCAGCGCGAAAGCGUGGGGAUCAAACAGG